rnacentral:rRNA from 1 species
AGAGUUUGAUCAUGGCUCAGGAUAAACGCUGGCGGCGUGCCUAACACAUGCAAGUCGAGCGGUAAGGCCUCUUCGGAGGUACACGAGCGGCGGACGGGUGAGUAACGCGUGGGAAUCUACCCUAAACUGAGGGAUAAGCACCGGAAACGGUGUCUAAUACCGCAUAUGGUCUUCGGAUUAAAGCUUCGGCGGUUUAGGAAGAGCCCGCGUAAGAUUAGCUAGUUGGUAAGGUAAUGGCUUACCAAGGCGACAAUCUUUAGCUGGUUUGAGAGGAUGAUCAGCCACACUGGAACUGAGACACGGUCCAGACUCCUACGGGAGGCAGCAGUGAGGAAUUUUCCACAAUGGGGGCAACCCUGAUGGAGCAACGCCGCGUGCAGGAUGAAGGUUUUCGGAUUGUAAACUGCUUUUAUACGUGACGAAUAUGACGGUAGCGUAUGAAUAAGGAUCGGCUAACUCCGUGCCAGCAGCCGCGGUCAUACGGAGGAUCCAAGCGUUAUCCGGAUUUACUGGGCGUAAAGAGUUGCGUAGGUGGUUUGCCAAGUUUCCGUUUAAAUGCCAAGGCUCAACCUUGGAAGUGACGGAAAAACUGGCAAACUCGAGAAUGAGAGAGGUCACUGGAAUUUCUUGUGUAGGAGUGAAAUCCGUAGAUAUAAGAAGGAACACCGAUGGCGUAGGCAGGUGACUGGCUCAUUUCUGACACUGAGGCACGAAAGCGUGGGGAGCGAACGGGAUUAGAUACCCUAGUAGUCC